UUAAUGUUGCAACCCCAAGAAAAAAGCAGAUUCUGUCAAAACCAAUGCAGAUGUGCUUUUAAGAAGCCACACAGGUCUACCACAAGACAUCGGAUUGGCAUAAAUGUAUGUCAGUUUCAAGGGAGUUAAUCAGACAUUAAUGUGAACCACAACAAGGGCAAUUUGUACAGAAUCUGCAAUUUUUACACGCUCUAAUAAUAUAUGGCCCUAACCCCUGUUAAGCUACAAUGCACAUUGAUAUGGUAAUUUUUGAGUAAGUAACAUAUCUUUUAAGGAAGACAGAGUGUAAUCAACUUUUUUUCACUACAACCAACCCCACUUGGAAUGCAAAGCUUUGAGAGCUUUGCACUGUUGCCAAUCAACAGAGUUUUGAAUUAACCUUUGACAUCCGCCUUUGCUAGUUUUCCUUCCCGAGGUGGAAAACUUUAUUAACAACAAUACAACCACAGUUAAAAGAGCUCCUUGAGUGAAACAUUAACCCUCAGUUCAACAUUUACGUCACACUCUUGGCAAUGUCUGCAAGCUUAUAGAGGCUUGUUAUAUCCAAGUUAGAUGAACCAUGGUUGUACUGUUGUCAACAAUUUUACCGUGCUGUUGUUGGCUUUAGCUGAUGUCAAAAGUUGUUAAAAGAGCUUGUGAGUGGCAACAGGACAAUCCCUUUCACAUAUCCUUUUCACUAUAUAUAAUAUAUCCUUAGCCCACACAAAAUUGUUAUUACAUGUAUAUUACUUGUUGUUAGUUAGUUGCACAUACUUGUAAAUGACACUUAGUUGGAAACUACAGCACAAGGAACAAGCAAUGACCAGUUAAUGACACCAUAACUGUCAACGCUUGUUACCUCAUUAGACUGUAGUUCAAAUUUGGUACCAUUUAAAAUAUAAGAGUUAUUAACAUUAGGCUCAGUGCUGUAAAGGGCUAACAUGCAAGCAACAAAGUAGAUUCUUUAAGCAUGUAUACAAGACAAGGACUCUGGAGCUCAGAGCUCAAGAUGCAAGCCACUAUCAGAGGUCAUUAUUUCUAAUACCAGUGACUGAUUUCUUCAACUUGAAAGAAAUCAGUUUUUGAACCUUUUUGGAAACCAGAUUGAUUCACCCACUUUGCAAGUAUUACACAUGAUACCAAGGUGAGAUUGUCUGUCAGUCAAUGAUUUUUCUUAUAAACUAGCUCUUCGAGAUUCAAGAAGAAAACACAUUACCCAGUAGUUGAGGUGUAACAGUUUCCACCAUGUAAUGAGAUGAUUUGUUCUUAAUUCAGUGACAAUAUUGCCCAACCAAGACGAUGAAUUUUUAACGCUUUGAGCUCAGAUGGCAUUUAAUACUCGAUAUUGACCAAUGAUAACACCAGCUUCAUAGCCGACCGGCCAGCAGGCAGAGUGACUGAAUUACACCACA